AAAAAAACCUUUCUACUUAACAUUGUUUUAACCUCGUACUCUUUAUCCUCUUUCUCUCCAGGCUUCUGAAUUCCCUUCUGAGUUAAUGUCAAAUGACAGCAAAGCACUGUGUGGCUGAAUAAGCGGUGUUCAUGACUUCUUUUUUUUCUUUGCACAACAACAACAACAAAUUCACAGAAUCUUUUAAGUGCUGAACUUAUUUUUCAACCAUUUCACAAGGAGGACAAGUUAAAUGGACCUUUUUAAAAAGAAAAAAAAAUGGAAGGAAAACUAAGAAUGAUCAUCUUCCCAGGGGUGUUCUCUCACUUGGACUGUGAUAUUCGUUAUUUAUGAAAAAGACUUUUAAAUGCCCUUUCUGCAGUUGGAAGGUUUUCUUUAUAUACUAUUCCCACCAUGGGGAGCGAAAACGUUAAAAUCACAAGGAAUUGCCCAAUCUAAGCAGACUUUGCCUUUUUUCAAAGGUGGAGCGU
rnacentral:sRNA from 1 species